UACAGAGGGUGCAAGCGUUGUUCGGAAUUAUUGGGCGUAAAGGGAGUGUAGGCGGUCUGAAAAGUCUUCUGUGAAAUCUACGGGCUUACCCUGUAACGUGCAGAGGAAACUGUCAGGCUUGAGUAUCGGAGAGGACAGGGGAAUACCCAGUGUAGAGGUGAAAUUCGUAGAGAUUGGGUGGAACACCAGUGGCGAAGGCGCCUGUCUGGCUGAUAACUGACGCUGAGACUCGAAAGCAUGGGGAGCAAACAGG
rnacentral:rRNA from 1 species